CGGAAGGAUCAUUGAAUAUGCAAACCACAACACGCACUCUCUAUUUGCGAACCGACGCAGGUCGAACCGCGCAAGCGUGUUCGGCCUCUUUUCUAACCCACACACCAUUGACCAACCAAUGAGUAAACCAAACUCUGAAGCUUUGGCUGCCGUUAACCGGCAGUCUCCAACGAAAACAACUCUCAACAACGGAUAUCUUGGCUCUCGCAACGAUGAAGAACGCAGCGAAAUGCGAUACGUAGUGUGAAUUGCAGAAUUCCGUGAACCAUCGAAUCUUUGAACGCAUAUUGCGCUCGACUCUCCGGAGAAGAGCAUGUCUGCCUCAGCGUCGGUUUACACCCAUCAUCCCUCUUACUUUCACAAGUAAGCUUGCCGUGUUUGCUCAAACCGGCAUUAGGGGUGGAUCUGGCCCUCCCAAUCGGCGCAAGUUGAUUGGGUUGGCUGAAGCACAGAGGCUUAAACUGGGACCCGUAAGGGCUCAACUGGAUAGGUAGCAACACCCUUUGGGUGCCUACACGAAGUUGUGUCUGAGGACCUGGUUAGGAGCCAAGCAGGAAACGCGCUUCAUUGCGCGUAUCUCGUAUUCGACCUGAGCUCAGGCAAGGCUACCCGCUGAACUUAAGCAUAUG
rnacentral:rRNA from 1 species